ensembl:snoRNA SNORA70 Small nucleolar RNA SNORA70
CUGCAGCCAAUUAAGCCGACUGAGUUCCUUUCCUCAUGGGGGCCCAGUGUGCAAUGGCUGCAAACAGUAGCUUCUCUGGUAGUGAUGCAGCCUGUUUGUUGUAUGGGUUGCUCUAAGGGACCUUGGAGACAGAC